rnacentral:rRNA from 1 species
UACGUAGGGUGCAAGCGUUAAUCGGAAUUACUGGGCGUAAAGCGUGCGCAGGCGGUUGUGCAAGACCGAUGUGAAAUCCCCGGGCUCAACCUGGGAAUGGCAUUGGUGACUGCACGGCUAGAGUGUGUCAGAGGGGGGUAGAAUUCCACGUGUAGCAGUGAAUGCGUAGAGAUGUGGAGGAAUACCGAUGGCGAAAGGCAGCCCCCUGGGAUAACACUGACGCUCAUGCACGAAAGCGUGGGGAGCAAACAGG